GCAGAGGACUCCUGCGGGAGGCAGCAGUGGGGAAUAUUGCACAAUGGGCGCAAGCCUGAUGCAGCCUAUGCCGCGUGUAUGAAGAAGGCCUUCGGGUUGUAAAGUACUUUCAGCAGUGAGGAAGGUGGGUAUGUUAAUAGCAUACUCAUUUGACGUUAGCUGCAGAAGAAGCACCGGCUAACUCCGUGCCAGCAGCCGCGGUAAUACGGAGGGUGCGAGCGUUAAUCGGAAUUACUGGGCGUAAAGCGCAUGCAGGUGGUUGUUAAGUCAGAUGUGAAAAGCCCGGGGCUCAACCUCGGAAUUGCAUUUGAAACUGGCAAACUAGAGUACUGUAGAGGGGGUAGAAUUUCAGGUGUAGCGGUGAAAUGCGUAGAGAUCUGAAGGAAUACCGGUGGCGAAGGCGGCCCCCUGGACAGAUACUGACACUCAGAUGCGAAAGCGUGGGGAGCAAACAGGAUUAGAUACCCUGGUAG
rnacentral:rRNA from 1 species